GAAAAAAGAACAUAUUGUUUAGAAGACAUUUGAUAAUUGGAGCAUCAAAAAUUCUCGAAAAAAAGACAUGAAAGUAACAUAUACAAGUUCGCCAUAUAUAACCCCCUUAUUAUGUGACAUAACAGAGCAGGGGGUUUGGCGACAACGUCUUUGGCUGCAGCAUGUCUCUCUAUAACAAUCCCGCGUUUGGAAAGAUGAAACAAAAAGUAGAUUAAGGACCCCUUGGCCCUCCCAAAAAAAGAACCAAAAUGUCACAAACUAAAUUAUUUUGGUGAAGAGAACAAAAGAAAGUCACAGAUUUUUAUAAUCUAUCUAGGCUGCAGAUUCCUUUGCAAUCUUCUCUGCCUUGGCA
rnacentral:misc_RNA from 1 species